rnacentral:rRNA from 1 species
CCUGGGAACUGCGUUNUGAACUGGCAAGCUAGAGUGUNUCAGAGGGGGGUAGAAUUCCACGUGUAGCAGUGAAAUGCGUAGAGAUGUGGAGGAAUACCGAUGGCGAAGGCAGCCCCCUGGGAUAACACUGACGUUCAUGCUCGAAAGCGUGGGUAGCAAACAGGAUUAGAUACCCUGGUAGUCCACGCCCUAAACGAUGUCAAUUAGCUGUUGGGCAACAUGAUUGCUUAGUAGCGUAGCUAACGCGUGAAAUUGACCGCCUGGGGAGUACGGUCGCAAGAUUAAAACUCAAAGGAAUUGACGGGGACCCGCACAAGCGGUGGAUGAUGUGGAUUAAUUCGAUGCAACGCGAAGAACCUUACCUGGUCUUGGCAUGUACGGAAUCUCUCAGAGACGGGAGAGUGCCUUCGGGAACCGUAACACAGGUGCUGCAUGGCUGUCGUCAGCUCGUGUCGUGAGAUGUUGGGUUAAGUCCCGCAACGAGCGCAACCCUUGUCAUUAGUUGCCAUCAUUAAGUUGGGCACUCUAAUGAGACUGCCGGUGACAAACCGGAGGAAGGUGGGGAUGACGUCAAGUCCUCAUGGCCCUUAUGACCAGGGCUUCACACGUCAUACAAUGGUCGGUACAGAGGGUCGCCAAGCCGCGAGGUGGAGCCAAUCUCACAAAACCGAUCGUAGUCCGGAUUGCACUCUGCAACUCGAGUGCAUGAAGUCGGAAUCGCUAGUAAUCGCAGGUCAGCAUACUGCGGUGAAUACGUUCCCGGGUCUUGUACACACCGCCCGUCACACCAUGGGAGUGGGGGAUACCAGAAGUAGGUAGGAUAACCGCAAGGAGUCCGCUUACCAC